rnacentral:rRNA from 1 species
GACGAACGCUGGCGGCGUGCCUAAUACAUGCAAGUCGAACGAGAGCGACCGGUGCUUGCACUGGUCAAUCUAGUGGCGAACGGGUGAGUAACACGUGGGUAACCUGCUCAUCAGAGGGGGAUAACAUCCGGAAACGGAUGCUAAAACCGCAUAGGUCUUCGAGCCGCAUGGCUUGAAGAGGAAAAGAGGCGCAAGCUUCUGCUGAUGGUUGGACCCGCGGUGCAUUAGCUAGUUGGUGAGGUAACGGCUCACCAAGGCCGUGAUGCAUAGCCGACCUGAGAGGGUGAUCGGCCACAUUGGGACUGAGACACGGCCCAAACUCCUACGGGAGGCAGCAGUAGGGAAUCUUCCGCAAUGGACGCAAGUCUGACGGAGCAACGCCGCGUGAGUGAAGAAGGUUUUCGGAUCGUAAAACUCUGUUGUUAGAGAAGAACAAGUGCUAGAGUAACUGUUAGCGCCUUGACGGUAUCUAACCAGAAAGCCACGGCUAACUACGUG